CCCUUAAAUACUGAAGUGUGGAAUUAGACCUGCAAACUCCAGGAAGCAAUUGUCUGUUUGGACAGGCUCUGUCUCUUUUCAUAGGGAAGUCUGCCUGGGUUCUGCUUGCAAACAGAGCUCAAUUCCACAGCGUGAAGGCAGCAGGGGAACUUGCUGUCAAGAGUGUUGCCGUGAAGCGUGGAGAAAUGAAGAGGCCCUGGUGAUGGAUAUCAGACCAGCUUGCCACAGAAUAAAGAUCAGCA